GACGAACGCUGGCGGCGUGCUUAACACAAGCAAGUCGAACGGAAAGGCCCUGCUUUUGUGGGGUGCUCGAGUGGCGAACGGGUGAGUAACACGUGAGUAACCUGCCCUUGACUUUGGGAUAACUUCAGGAAACUGGGGCUAAUACCGGAUAGGAGCUCCUGCUGCAUGGUGGGGGUUGGAAAGUUUCGGCGGUUGGGGAUGGACUCGCGGCUUAUCAGCUUGUUGGUGGGGUAGUGGCUUACCAAGGCUUUGACGGGUAGCCGGCCUGAGAGGGUGACCGGCCACAUUGGGACUGAGAUACGGCCCAGACUCCUACGGGAGGCAGCAGUGGGGAAUAUUGCACAAUGGGCGGAAGCCUGAUGCAGCAACGCCGCGUGCGGGAUGACGGCCUUCGGGUUGUAAACCGCUUUCGCCUGUGACGAAGCGUGAGUGACGGUAAUGGGUAAAGAAGCACCGGCUAAGUACGUG
rnacentral:rRNA from 1 species